UCCUUGCCACACCACCCCAACCAAACGUCCCCUUAGUAUUUUCAUCGAAGUUGUCGUCCACUUUGAGUUCACUCGUGCACUAUAACUUCCAUCUCCAUUUCGGCAUUUCCAGAAAAUUUUUCAACAAAAGCGCCAAAAAUAUCACCCUACCAGUAGUCAGUAGCAAACACCGCAACACGCACUCGGCACAAUAAGAUGCCGCCAAGAGGCCGUCCACGACGCGCCGCUGCCCAAAAAGCGGCGCUUAAACCCUCCACUCCUCCAACAGAACCCGCCGCAGAAGAAAACACCGUUAAGGAGCAACCACUCGUCGAGGCUUCGUCAUGCGACGUCGUUUUAGGUACCUCCUCCGAAUCUCUAAUCUCCGGUACAUCGGAAACCGUCUCCGUGCAUGAGGACGACGUCGUUUUGGAAACCCUAGCUCCAGUUGAGGAUACUGUUAAGGGAGACGGCGUUGUUGUUGUUGCUGAUGGCGGUGCCAGUAUUGCUAGUAGUAGUGGCAAUGUAGGGAAGGUGAAGAAGGUGGUGAAGAAGACAGUUAAGGUUGUGAAGAAGGUGAUUAAGAAGGUUCCUAGGAAGGUUGUGAAAGAUGAGGUUGCGCCGAAAGGUGAUCAAUUUGAUAAGGCUAGUGGUGAUGUUAAUUCGAUGCCGGAAGCUAUUUCGACGAUUGCUGAUGAUAUAGUUAGUAUUGGUGAUCAAUUAAAGGUGGAAAAUCAUGUUUCUGAUGGUUUGGCCAGUGUGAAAGUGGAGGAGGGAGAGAAGGAGGUCGAGGAAGAUGUGAUUAAGAAGGUUCCUAGGAAGGUUGUGGAAGAAGAGAUUGUGGCGAAAAGUGAUCAACUUGAUAAGGCUAGUGGUGAUGUUGAUUCCAUUUCGAACACAAAGUCGACUUUUGGUGACGGUUUAGUUAGUAUUAGUGAUCAAUUGAAGGUGGAAGAUCAUGAUUCUGAGGGUUUGGUUAGUGUGAAAGUGGAGGAGGGGGAGAAGGAGGUCGAGGUUGAGGUCAAGGUCGAGGAGAAGAAGGAUGAUUUAGAAGGAGUUUUUAAAGGUAAUAGUGAAGGAGUAAAAGAAAGUGAAUUGAUGGAAGUGGAUAAUGCUGCUAAUAAUGAGGGUGUUGUGGAGGAAAGAGGUGGAGAAUGUGGAAAGGAAGGUGUGCAUUUGGGAAAGGAAGAGGAGAGGGAGGGAGAAGAGGGGAAGUUGUUUAGAGGGGAAUUGGAGGCGAUGGAGCGAAGGAAGCGUAGGAAGACAGAAAUUUUUAUUGGUAGGUUGGAUAAGGAUGCUAAGGAGGAAGAUAUAAGGAAGGUUUAUGGAGAGGCUGGUCAUAUUGUGGAUUUGAGAAUGAUGAUGAAUAGCAAGACUGGAAAGCAAUUCGCCUUUCUGCGUUAUUCGUCUGCAGAAGAGGCGAAGAGGGCUUUGGAAAAGUUUGCCAAAGUAGAGAUAUGCGGUAAAGAGUGUGGUGCUUCUCCUGCUGAGGGCAAUGAUACUAUUUUUCUUGGUAACAUCGACAAGAAAUGGAAGGAUGAGGAUGUUGUCAAAUUGUUAAACAAAAUUGGAAUUGACAAAAUAGACAAGGUCACAGUUAUGAUAAAUCCAAAUAACAGAGAAUGCAAUCGUGGGUUUGCGUUUGUUGAAUUUGAAACCAUCAAGGAUGCUCAGGUCGCUUAUACGAAACUUCAAGAGAAAGGUGUAUCUGGGAAGAAUCAGAGAUUAAAAGUUGCUUGGGCUGAACCUUUGAAGGAGCUUGAUGAAGAAGAAAUGCUAAAGGUCAAAACCGUGUAUGCUGAGUUCAUACCAUCGUCUUGGGAUGAAGAGAAAGUGAGAGAUUCUUUUAAGAAGUUUGGGGAAAUAGAUGAUGUCGUUCUUGCCCGGAACUUAAAAACAUCCAAGAGAAAGGACUUUGCAUUUAUUCGCUAUAAAACCCGAGUUGCUGCUAUCGGAUGCAUUGAAUCAUUUGGUCAUGAGUUAAGAGAUGAAGAUGGAACUAAGGUAAAUGUGAAGGUAUCCCUUGCUAAACCAAUGACAAAGGGAAAGAAAAAAACAGACGCACAUCCUGUUGUUAAGGAGGCCCACAUACCAAAGCCAAAAACCAUCCGUAGUAAAGUUAGGCCAAGUGAUCAGCGAUACAGGACACAGCCAAAUGUACCUCAUUAUGGUAUUCAAAUUCCUGAGAUGUCUUCUACAAAUGUGGAAUUAGUCCGAUUGUUGAGGGAGCAAGCUUCCGGGAGGCCGCCACAUGCAAGCUUAAGAAACAGUCCUAUGGAUGUCCACUACUCUAGCCCUUUAUCUGGGAGAAAACGUCAGUUUUCUUUGUUGGAAACCGAUCCACUGUCUGGAGACUUCAACAGAUAUCAUCACUCCCGUUUAGAUGCUUCUUAUGCAGCUGCAAACUCUAGGUUUCACAAUAGAGUGCCACCUAGUGGUCUUACAAGCCCCAUGGCUUACCAUCAGCGACAUACUGGGUAUCCUUCUGGAUCACUUUAUGGGGGUAGACAUUAUGCAUACAAUGCCGAGAUCAGGGAUAAUGCACAUGAGAGCAGUUUCCUAUAUCGGCGAUAUUAACAGUUGGAAGACUGAAGAGAAUGGUAACUUGGCGUGAUGAGAUGUAGCCUGGUAUCAGAAUGGUCUCACAAUCAAUUAGUAUGAUUGUCAAGCGAAAUGGAACCUCAAAAGUAAUGCCUGCCUAGUAUGGAGAACACCUUGGUCAAGAAUCAGAGCUAGGAGCCAACUGAAGCAAGCUGCCAACAGCAGCGGGUGCUGCUCGCCAGAAUGGUGUGAAGAGGAGAAGAGUAAAGAUGUGUUGUUUUGUUAUGUUUCUUGUGGAAUGAUUUUUAUGAAAAUGAGUGAGGACUUUAGUCUUGUAUAUAUGGAGAAUGGGUGAGGGAAGGAUCGUAAUUUUUGGUUCAGUAUAAGGGGUAAAAUCGUCAUAUCCCUUGCUUAUGAAUAAACCAGAAUUACCAAGGCUUUUAACUUAGAUUAUGUCCUCAAUUACUAAUUAUUCUUAACUAAAGUCCUCCAAAGUAUAUUAUAUACCUUAAUGAAAGUAUCUUGACUUAAUUAAUCUUUAAUCUCAAUUCCCCGAACAACAAAACGAUAUCAAUGACUACUACAAAUCUCAUAACUAUAAAAUAAUACUUAACUUUUUUAACAUAGUUCAUGAAUUACUCAAUUCUCACAUAGCUCAUAUUAUUAGUUAGCUAAUAACACAUAAUAUCCACAUCGACAACAAAAUUCACAUAACAAUCAUUUCAACUCCUAGAAUUCAAAACUUAACGGUCACGACUUAAUUUAAUCAUCGUUAGCAUAAUGACCGUGGAUUAUCAAUUCUAAUCUUAGCUUAAUAAGUCAGGAUAUUACACUCUACCAUUCUUAAAGAAUUUUCGUCCCGAAACGUAUAACAUACCUUGGAAUAAUUGGAGGUGUCGUUCUCGCAUAUCCACUUCUUGUUCCCAAGUUGCUUCUUCUGUUCGAUGAUUGGUCCAUAAUACUUUAGCCAAAUGUAUUGUCUAGUUCCGUAAAACUUUUUCCCGUCUAUUCAGGAUCCUUAUAGGUCUCUCCUCAUAGCAUAACAACUCAUCUAUCUAUAACGGUUCGUACGCUAACACAUGUGAAGGAUCAUGUAUAUAUUUCCAUAGUUGAGAGACGUGGAAGACGUUGUGAACCUUUGACAAUUCCACCCGCAAGGCUUUUAUAUGUAACUUCGCCAAUUCUUCGCAAACCUCAAAUGGUCCUAUAAACAUAGGACUCAAUUUCCCUUGCAGCCCAAACCUUUUCACCCCAUUGGUAGGUGAAACACGAAGAAAUACCUUAUCCUCUUCUUCGAAUUUCAGCUUUGUCCUUUGUAAGUCAGCAUACUUCUUUUGUCGAUUUUGUGCGACUCUCAUUUUGUCUCGAAUUACUCAAACUUACUCCAUUGUAUCGUGAAUUAACUUAGGGCAACUGGUAUACCAGGGCUCACAUCAUCCCAACAAAUAGGUGUUCGCGAAUAUGUAUGUAACACCUAUUUGUUGGGAUGAUGUAAUUCGAAUAUGUAUGUAACACCUAUUUGUUGGUCUAAGGUAACAUGUAUAGGGUAACACUUUUUAAAAUUCAAGUUUCUCGAAUAUUUAUGUAACACCUUGGUAGCACUUUAUUAAUAUGUAACACUUAAUGUAACACUUUUUCUAUAAGUAACAUUUUCAUGUAGCACUUUUUAAAUUUUGAUGUAACACUUUAUAAAAUGUAACACUUUUAAGUAACACUUUUAUAUUUGUAACACAUUUAAAGUAACACUUUAGAAUAGGUUUCUUUUAAGAGUAUAAGUAUUUUUCUUUUUGAAAAUUUGUAAAGUAAAGUUUUUAUAAGUAAUUUAUUUUAGGGGAGUAAUCCAAAUUUUAUGUUUGGCACUUUAUUAGCUGCCAAACACAAUAAAUCCAAAACUUAAAGCAUUGGUAUAUUGACAAAUUACGUAAGGCGCUCUGUAAGUGUAAUACCCCGAUUCUUAACAGCAUUUUAUUUAGCGUUAAUUAUAAUUAUUAAGCUAAUUAUAUUUUAAAUAUUCUUAUUUUAUUUGGGUUAGCGUAUAAAUAUUUUUUUUUUGUGGUGGUUAUAAUAUAUUUACAUACAAAUUCUAUGAAGUUAUUAAUAUUAUUUUAUAUUUUUUAUUUCGUGUGCAAUUGGUUGAGCAGUAUUUUACCAAAAUAGAAAGUCAAAGUCGUUUACUCCUUUAUUUUCUUUUCCUAGUCGGAUAGUUUGGGAAAAAAAACCCUAAACCCAUCUCUAUUUCUCUCACCCCAACUCCUUUCCUUCCCCGUGAAAGCCCCAACCCAAGCCCGCUCUCUCUUUCUUUGAUCCCUUGCGCUGCUGCCCCGUCAGCCACCCCUUACGGGUGUCUCGUUUUCCCCGGCGCUUGCCGUGUUGUCGUUUCCCCCUCGCGCGGUGUUUCUGACGUGCUUCUGUCCCCUGCUCGCGUCUUCUCUGUCCCCUUCGUGGUGACAUUUCAUCAAAACAUGCAAAAGGAUCAGAGACCCAAGUCACUUGGGAAGAUCAGCAGAAUAUUAACAAAUUCAGUAAACUUAAUAAUCGAUUUCAUGAGCUUGAAGAUGAGAUUAAAUUCGCCAAGUUGAUGUAAUUCGAAUGCAUGAGAAGAUGAGGGUGCACCUGUCAGUGCCGAGCUCAUUGAAGUAGGGAACUUGUAUUUUGAUCUAGGGUUUGAAAGAUUAGUCACUUUUGGUUAUGUAAUUAACACUAUAAAGUGUACUAACACAAUGUGGAAAAUUGAACAUUUAAUUUUGUCAGCAAGUUUCAACUUUAAGAUCAGGCAAGGAUGAAUCUGAUCGAUUGAAA